ACAUUGGUAGCCCUGGUAGAGAUGGUGCUCGUGUGAGUAGAAUUCUAUUUGUACUUAUAUUGGUGUUUUUUUUUUAAACAUUUCACUCCAUUUGAGUUGAGAAGCUUUCCAAAAUGGAACUGACAAAAGAGAGAGUCAGGGUUAGUAAAAGGGUAUUCCAAUCACAUCAUUUUACAUGUUCCAAAAGAAAAAUUCAAAAGAGGACUUACUCCCUUGAAAAUUAUGAAAAUUAUGAAUUUUCUCCCUUCCUUAGUUUUAACUGUACCAAGUGCAAACUACCACCCCAAAUCUCUGGGUUUAACAGAACAUUAAAUUAUUGUUUAAACUAACAUAGGGCUUUAGGAAAAAAAAAAAAAAAAAGCAGUAAUUCUUGCAUUUUAAGAAGCCAUAUCCUAUAACAAGGUUCUAUAUACCCUAAGAAUUUAUCAUUCAAGAGCCGCCCCAAGAUUAACUGUUAAUGGCGUGGAGGUGCCAAUGAUAGUCCCAUCAAGGUAUAAUAAUCCUACUCUAGAAUACUGGCCUCAUGGCUUUUCCGGGCCAUAAGCCCCUUUGGUUCUUCUCACCUCUCCCUCAGUGCUGGGAGCUCCCUGUGACACAUUCAUCAUAGUCCUGUCUCUGAAUCACACAGUCCUAACUCUUCUUAACAACGCUAGUCAUUUGCUACCCUCCAGGGAAUUUUAAAAGAGCAGAGAGUUCAGAUCUCUGCAGUUCCUAAUCUGGCCAUAACCUAGACAUUUCCAUGACCUUCACCACUGCGGUAACUCUCCUCCUGGGAGUGGCUUCUGAUGCCUUGAUAAUUAGAACUGAAAUGCAUCAGAGGCUUUCUUGAUGUCUAUCCCGAGUGUCCAGUGAAAGUGUUCCACCACUGAAUAAGCACAGCAAGGGGAGAGGGUAAGUGUCCCUUCUGAUGGUACGGGGUGUUAUUGA
rnacentral:lncRNA from 1 species